rnacentral:rRNA from 1 species
UACGUAGGGUGCGAGCGUUAAUCGGAAUUACUGGGCGUAAAGCGUGCGCAGGCGGUUUUCUAAGUCCGUUGUGAAAGCCCCGGGCUCAACCUGGGAAUGGCAGUGGAAACUAGGGGACUGGAAUCUGGCAGAGGGGGGUGGAAUGCCGCGUGUAGCAGUGAAAUGCGUAGAGAUGCGGCGGAACACCGAUGGCGAAGGCAGCCCCCUGGGCUGAGAUUGACGCUCAGGCACGAAAGCGUGGGGAGCAAACAGG